GAUGAACGCUGGCGGCGUGCUUAACACAUGCAAGUCGAACGGAAAGGCCCAAGCUUGCUUGGGUACUCGAGUGGCGAACGGGUGAGUAACACGUGGGUGAUCUGCCCUGCACUUCGGGAUAAGCCUGGGAAACUGGGUCUAAUACCGGAUAGGACCACUUCUUGGAUGUUGUGGUGGAAAGUUUUUUCGGUGUGGGAUGAGCUCGCGGCCUAUCAGCUUGUUGGUGGGGUAAUGGCCUACCAAGGCGUCGACGGGUAGCCGACCUGAGAGGGUGUACGGCCACAUUGGGACUGAGAUACGGCCCAGACUCCUACGGGAGGCAGCAGUGGGGAAUAUUGCACAAUGGGCGCAAGCCUGAUGCAGCGACGCCGCGUGGGGGAUGACGGCCUUCGGGUUGUAAACUCCUUUCGCUAGGGACGAAGCGUUUUGUGACGGUACCUGGAGAAGAAGCACCGGCUAACUACGUG
rnacentral:rRNA from 1 species